rnacentral:rRNA from 1 species
GGGUUGUGAGGUUAAGCGACUAAGCGUACACGGUGGAUGCCCUGGCAGUCAGAGGCGAUGAAGGACGUGCUAAUCUGCGAUAAGCGUCGGUAAGGUGAUAUGAACCGUUAUAACCGGCGAUUUCCGAAUGGGGAAACCCAGUGUGUUUCGACACACUAUCAUUAACUGAAUCCAUAGGUUAAUGAGGCGAACCGGGGGAACUGAAACAUCUAAGUACCCCGAGGAAAAGAAAUCAACCGAGAUUCCCCCAGUAGCGGCGAGCGAACGGGGAGCAGCCCAGAGCCUGAAUCAGUGUGUGUGUUAGUGGAAGCGUCUGGAAAGGCGCGCGAUACAGGGUGACAGCCCCGUACACAAAAAUGCACAUACUGUGAGCUCGAUGAGUAGGGCGGGACACGUGGUAUCCUGUCUGAAUAUGGGGGGACCAUCCUCCAAGGCUAAAUACUCCUGACUGACCGAUAGUGAACCAGUACCGUGAGGGAAAGGCGAAAAGAACCCCGGCGAGGGGAGUGAAAAAGAACCUGAAACCGUGUACGUACAAGCAGUGGGAGCACGCUUCGGCGUGUGACUGCGUACCUUUUGUAUAAUGGGUCAGCGACUUAUAUUCUGUAGCAAGGUUAACCGAAUAGGGGAGCCGAAGGGAAACCGAGUCUUAACUGGGCGUUAAGUUGCAGGGUAUAGACCCGAAACCCGGUGAUCUAGCCAUGGGCAGGUUGAAGGUUGGGUAACACUAACUGGAGGACCGAACCGACUAAUGUUGAAAAAUUAGCGGAUGACUUGUGGCUGGGGGUGAAAGGCCAAUCAAACCGGGAGAUAGCUGGUUCUCCCCGAAAGCUAUUUAGGUAGCGCCUCGUGAAUUCAUCUCCGGGGGUAGAGCACUGUUUCGGCAAGGGGGUCAUCCCGACUUACCAACCCGAUGCAAACUGCGAAUACCGGAGAAUGUUAUCACGGGAGACACACGGCGGGUGCUAACGUCCGUCGUGAAGAGGGAAACAACCCAGACCGCCAGCUAAGGUCCCAAAGUCAUGGUUAAGUGGGAAACGAUGUGGGAAGGCCCAGACAGCCAGGAUGUUGGCUUAGAAGCAGCCAUCAUUUAAAGAAAGCGUAAUAGCUCACUGGUCGAGUCGGCCUGCGCGGAAGAUGUAACGGGGCUAAACCAUGCACCGAAGCUGCGGCAGCGACACUAUGUGUUGUUGGGUAGGGGAGCGUUCUGUAAGCCUGUGAAGGUGUGCUGUGAGGCAUGCUGGAGGUAUCAGAAGUGCGAAUGCUGACAUAAGUAACGAUAAAGCGGGUGAAAAGCCCGCUCGCCGGAAGACCAAGGGUUCCUGUCCAACGUUAAUCGGGGCAGGGUGAGUCGACCCCUAAGGCGAGGCCGAAAGGCGUAGUCGAUGGGAAACAGGUUAAUAUUCCUGUACUUGGUGUUACUGCGAAGGGGGGACGGAGAAGGCUAUGUUGGCCGGGCGACGGUUGUCCCGGUUUAAGCGUGUAGGCUGGUUUUCCAGGCAAAUCCGGAAAAUCAAGGCUGAGGCGUGAUGACGAGGCACUACGGUGCUGAAGCAACAAAUGCCCUGCUUCCAGGAAAAGCCUCUAAGCAUCAGGUAACAUUAAAUCGUACCCCAAACCGACACAGGUGGUCAGGUAGAGAAUACCAAGGCGCUUGAGAGAACUCGGGUGAAGGAACUAGGCAAAAUGGUGCCGUAACUUCGGGAGAAGGCACGCUGAUAUGUAGGUGAAGUCCCUCGCGGAUGGAGCUGAAAUCAGUCGAAGAUACCAGCUGGCUGCAACUGUUUAUUAAAAACACAGCACUGUGCAAACACGAAAGUGGACGUAUACGGUGUGACGCCUGCCCGGUGCCGGAAGGUUAAUUGAUGGGGUUAGCGGUAACGCGAAGCUCUUGAUCGAAGCCCCGGUAAACGGCGGCCGUAACUAUAACGGUCCUAAGGUAGCGAAAUUCCUUGUCGGGUAAGUUCCGACCUGCACGAAUGGCGUAAUGAUGGCCAGGCUGUCUCCACCCGAGACUCAGUGAAAUUGAACUCGCUGUGAAGAUGCAGUGUACCCGCGGCAAGACGGAAAGACCCCGUGAACCUUUACUAUAGCUUGACACUGAACAUUGAGCCUUGAUGUGUAGGAUAGGUGGGAGGCUUUGAAGUGUGGACGCCAGUCUGCAUGGAGCCGACCUUGAAAUACCACCCUUUAAUGUUUGAUGUUCUAACGUUGACCCGUAAUCCGGGUUGCGGACAGUGUCUGGUGGGUAGUUUGACUGGGGCGGUCUCCUCCUAAAGAGUAACGGAGGAGCACGAAGGUUGGCUAAUCCUGGUCGGACAUCAGGAGGUUAGUGCAAUGGCAUAAGCCAGCUUGACUGCGAGCGUGACGGCGCGAGCAGGUGCGAAAGCAGGUCAUAGUGAUCCGGUGGUUCUGAAUGGAAGGGCCAUCGCUCAACGGAUAAAAGGUACUCCGGGGAUAACAGGCUGAUACCGCCCAAGAGUUCAUAUCGACGGCGGUGUUUGGCACCUCGAUGUCGGCUCAUCACAUCCUGGGGCUGAAGUAGGUCCCAAGGGUAUGGCUGUUCGCCAUUUAAAGUGGUACGCGAGCUGGGUUUAGAACGUCGUGAGACAGUUCGGUCCCUAUCUGCCGUGGGCGCUGGAGAACUGAGGGGGGCUGCUCCUAGUACGAGAGGACCGGAGUGGACGCAUCACUGGUGUUCGGGUUGUCAUGCCAAUGGCACUGCCCGGUAGCUAAAUGCGGAAGAGAUAAGUGCUGAAAGCAUCUAAGCACGAAACUUGCC